UUCUUUUUUCAGCACAACAACAAAGAAGAAGGAGAAGUUUUGUGCGGCUGGGUUCCCCAUCUCACCGGUGGUGCAAUUGUUCUUGGUGGCUAUGGUGCUCGGCAACGGCUAUGCUGCAGGUCAGCCACGAUUUUCGACACCUGGACAAUCUCGGCCAAGGUUCUCGGCGGUGUUGCAGGUGGUUCUCAGCGCUGCAGGGGUGCUCGGAGCUGCAAGAGAUCUCGACGCUACAGGUGUUUUCAGCCACGACGGCGGUGGCAGCAGAGGUCUCGGUGGAAUCUGAGAACCCAAUAAAAUCAAACAUGGAGGGCUCGGAACGGUGACAGCUCAGGACAAACGGUGGGGCUCGGAGUGGUUGCGGCUUGGGCCGAACGAAGGGGCUCGGAGCGGCCACGACUUUGGAUGAACGGAGGGGCCAUGGGACGAACGACGGUGACGUGGGACGACCACAACACAAAGAUCCACAACACGAAGAUGGUGGCGUGGGACGAACGACGAUGACAGUGGCUCCGGACGAACGGCGGGGGUCAGCCCUCCGAAAGCUUUACACAGGCUCACUACUCAUAGAGGUGGUCAUGGGAAAUUGAUAUCACCAUGAAUGUUGGAUUUUGGUUUGGGCUUUAUAUUCUACCUUCUUGUUUAAAUUUGAAUUUUGGCUUUUAGACUUAUUAGAUAUUUAGACUAUGCAAUUUGGACUUUUUUGUAUGAUUUCUCUAUUAUGUUGUGGACUUAGAAUUGAUUUGUGUUGUAUUAGAUUAGUCUAUUACUCUAUUAGACUUUGAACUUUUAAAUAUGAGUUGUGAUUUGUGGUUAUGGACUAUUGGACUUUUAACUAAGUUAUAGUUUUUUUUUUAUGUGGAUGUAGCUAUUUGAUUUGUUGGAAACGUUGGCUUGAAAGAAACAGCCAAACUUUUCUUUUUGAAAGAACUGGAAUCAUUGGAUGUAGUCAUGAUUGUAGUUUCACCAUUCUUUUUGUAAACAAAGACGACUUCUUAUCAUCUAAUUUACUUAGAGACUAGAAUAUUUAGCUUGUUAUUUGUUGUCAUCUUAUUAUGUUUGCUGGUUUUGUUCAUAUUAUUUCUAAAUGCUAUAGUUUUGAUACAUACUCUUUUCUUUUGCUAGAUAAUCUUGGAGAAAAUUCCCCUUAUUUUUAGAAUUUGUUUGAGGUUUGUCAAAUAUAUGCUGGUCUUGUUGUUAGAAUUUCAGUUGUUUUCUUUUGAAGUCAAUAACAUUUGCUAGCAGAUGGUGCACGCAGGUUGAACAACAUAUUUUGUGACAUUGGUCUUAGGAUUCUUGUUAUAUAUAUAUGCCUUGGUCUUAGCCUAGGAAUCUUGGAGCUUUUAAAUCACCAUGUUUCAUUCAUCAUGUGUGCAUUUUUCACUGGCUUAGUACUUGAUUGCAGUAUGUAUAUAAAUAUAUUUAAAAUUUAAUUCCUUGUAGGCCAAGUGUUUUGGUUUGUGAUGUUCUGAAUAUUUUUGUUGCAGUCUUGCAUGGAUUCAGAAACCAGAGGGAUAAUGACAGUAUAUGCCACUGGACAGCUAAGGAGAACUUCCGAGAUUAUAUUUAUGCUUUUUGUUGAGGGGACAAGCUUCACACACACUUCUCAUACACCAUUUGGUUUGUCCUUUUAUAAAUAAUGUAAAAUUAGAACAAUUUUAGAAUGACAUUAUUUGUAAGAUCCAUCAAUAGAGUAUCAGAUGGAAAUAUUUAGAUUGUUAUUAGGACUUAUAGUUGGUUUGAGUUUUUUUUAUGUAUUUGCUUUUAUUUUUUUUAUUUUUAUUGAUAAAUGUUGAAAUAUGUUAUAAGCUAGCUUACAAUACAUGUUAAUGAGAAAUUUAAAUUUCUUUUAUUUU